CCUACGGGUGGCAGCAGUGAGGAAUAUUGGUCAAUGGGCGCGAGCCUGAACCAGCCAAGCCGCGUGAGGGAAGACGGUCCUAUGGAUUGUAAACCUCUUUUGUCGGGGAGCAAAAGACGCCACGCGUGGCGUUCCGAGAGUACCCGAAGAAAAAGCAUCGGCUAACUCCGUGCCAGCAGCCGCGGUAAUACGGAGGAUGCGAGCGUUAUCCGGAUUUAUUGGGUUAAAAGGGCGCGCAGGCGGAAGAUCAAGUCAGCGGUAAAAUUGCGGGGCUCAACCUCUUCGAGCCGUUGAAACUGGUUGUCUUGAGUGAGUGAGAAGGAUGCGGAAUGCGUGGUGUAGCAGUGAAAUGCAUAGAUAUCACGCAGAACUCCGAUUGCGAAGGCAGCAUACCGGCGCUCAACUGACGCUGAUGCACGAAAGUGUGGGUAUCGAACAGGAUUAGAUACCCUAGUAGUC
rnacentral:rRNA from 1 species